ACCCCGGUAUUAUUGCUGUUAUGGGUUUGAAUCGAGCUUAGCCUUGUUCAUUUUUUUACACAACACCCCCGUAAAAAAUCCUACACGCCCCGCUCAAGCCUGCGAGUCCCAAGCACAUCAAACCCAGAAAACCGCCCCAAAACCCCGCAAAAAAGCCCCCACGGCGCUUUUUUAGGGCAA
rnacentral:sRNA from 1 species